rnacentral:rRNA from 1 species
AUUGAACGCUGGCGGCAGGCCUAACACAUGCAAGUCGAGCGGAAACGACAACAAAAAUUCUUCGGAUGAUUUGUUGGGCGUCGAGCGGCGGACGGGUGAGUAAUGCUUAGGAAUUUGCCCAGUCGAGGGGGACAACAGUUGGAAACGACUGCUAAUACCGCAUACGCCCUACGGGGGAAAGAGGGGGAUGCUUCGGCACCUUUCGCGAUUGGAUAAGCCUAAGUGAGAUUAGCUAGAUGGUGAGGUAAUGGCUCACCAUGGCGACGAUCUCUAGCUGGUUUGAGAGGAUGAUCAGCCACACUGGAACUGAGACACGGUCCAGACUCCUACGGGAGGCAGCAGUGGGGAAUAUUGCACAAUGGGCGCAAGCCUGAUGCAGCCAUGCCGCGUGUAUGAGAAGGCCUUCGGGUUGUAAAGACUUUCAGUGUGAGGAA